GGAACUGAACCGUGACCUCCUGGUUCAUAGGUCGACCGCAACCACCGAGCCACGCUGGCCGGGCACCGUAUCAUUUUAGCAGGGAACUUGAAAAACAAUGACCGCACAAUCGUUUUUAAAGACAAGAGUUGAACAAAAGCAACAUGUUUUCCUGAGGAACAAGACUGCCGCUGAGAGAACCACGUACCAGCGAGGCCCGGGAUUCCUCCGGCCAGCGGGGUGGACGCAG